AACAAGAGUGAUGGAAAUCGAGAGGAAAGAAAGUUCAUUUAAGUGGAGAAAGAUAUAAGAAGGCCGCCAUGUUGUGUCCUUUCUGUGGCCAACAUCUGGGGACAGUUCAAGUGUUCUGUGGCUCCUGUGGCAAACAUGUACAGUUUGUGGCAGAAGUUGAACACAACAGCGUUCCAUAAGGAGGGUCAGGAACUCACGCUUGGGACCACCAGUGUCCCCUCCAUCCUCAGUUUGUCCCUCAUCAUCAGUCAAUCAAUCAAUCAAUCAAUGUUUAUUUAUAUAGCCCAAUAUCACAAAUGUUACAUUU